rnacentral:rRNA from 1 species
UACGUAGGGUGCGAGCGUUAAUCGGAAUUACUGGGCGUAAAGCGUGCGCAGGCGGUUUUGUAAGUCAGAUGUGAAAGCCCCGGGCUCAACCUGGGAACUGCAUUUGAAACUGGCGGGCUUGAGUAUGGCAGAGGGGGGUGGAAUUCCGCGUGUAGCAGUGAAAUGCGUAGAGAUGCGGAGGAACACCGAUGGCGAAGGCAGCCCCCUGGGCCAAUACUGACGCUCAGGCACGAAAGCGUGGGGAGCAAACAGG